UGUUCAUAAGAUCUCCCUUUUGUCACCACCUCCCAACUUUGUCUCUUCCCAUCUUGUCGCAUCUCUGGAAGUAACUACCAUUUACCAUGUGGUGUUUAUGUUUCCAGAUGUUCACCAUUUAUAAUCAUGGUCCUUAGAAAACAGAAAUGGGACUCUAUUACAGAAGUAUUCAUCUAGCUGCCAAAUGUUAAUUGAGCACCUACUAUGGGUACCAGGCUCUGUGGGAGUCUUCUCUGAACUCCAGCCACACUGCCCUCUACUUGAUGAGUACUAGGUGGUCAGACCCUCAGAAGCAACCACAAAAGGUGGGCAGUGUUUUACAGUUAAAUGUGCUGAAGCAUCAGCCCCGGGAAGGUGGAUUUCAUAAAUGGCAAAGCCUCACGUGGACAUGUUGUCUAGUUCAAUUAUGAUAAUGCAAUCCCCUGUUCUACAUGAUGCAGAUGAGGCUUGAGAUAGAUGAGUCAGUGCCUCAGGGUCAUUCAGGGGUAAGUGAUGGUAAGUCUCAUUUUCUGACUACAGAGCUUCCCCAGAAGAAGCAAGGUCAUAAUCUCAGACACCUCCAGAAGCCGCCCAUGGUCCUAUCAACAAAUCGUUCAAACUGGAGGAGGCAAUAGAAGUGGUGUUUGGAAAUGUCUCCCCGUGCCCUUCUGGCAGUCAACCUGCUCCCCUGAGCUUCCCACCAGUUCAGUGUGAGUCAGUGUUGUGGAUAAGCUACCUCACUCUUCAUUACCAUUUCCUUGCAGACUGGUCUGAAGCCAUUGUGGAGUAAAGGAAAUAAAAAGCAUUAACUAUGAAGCAAAAUUUGCUCCAAAGGAAAGUUAAAAAUGUUUACAAAGUACAUCUAGCCCCUCACAAAUUUUUAUAAAGAUUAAAUUGGCUGCUCUCAGAAAAGUUUACUGUGAGACCCACUGCCUUGGUUUUCCCCAUCUACAAAAUGGGAACAACACCAUGAUCUUUUUUGGUGCCUCUUGAGGACAAGGGGGAUGGAAGUCAGGUCUAUCUUCGGCUGAGAAGACAAGCUUUGCAGAGAGUCUUCUCCUUAUAGCCCUUUCUCUUCAGCUUCCUUUGAAAGCCCUGCCCACUUCUCCUGAGCCCGCAGAUCUGCAGCUGUUGCCUGAGAGUGAGAGGACAAAGCAAUAACAUCAGCUAGGUGGUGUGCUUGCUGCUUUGUCUAAAGAGCACUGUAUCGCCAGCCAGCCUGGGUUUUGUUUUCUUUCUAAGAAUGAAGAAUGGAAGGAGGAUGGAAGGAACAGAACUCCUGGACCCUGAAACAGGAAACUCUUCAUCCUCUUGCCAUCUGUGCUUAAAAGACCCAUGAAAGCAUGUCUGUAGAAGCAUUGCGUGAAACGAGAGCUAAGAGGUACUUACAGGUUCUGUGACGUCAGCUGUGCCUUAUCGGUAUGUCUUUAAAAAAUACACAAGUGCAGGAGAGAAUUCCCCAGCAAUCAUGCCCACCACCCAUCCCAAGUUUUUUCAGCCCAGACUUAAAACAGCAGGUCAGUGAUUAGGUGGGCUUCCUUUGGUGAAGAGAAAGCACGCCCCCAUGACAUUCAGCUGAGUUCCAAGGUUGCUUUGGCUGAGUCUGAUGUUGAGUGACUAGAAGAGUGACCAGUUUCUGGAAUUUUUUGUAGAAUGAAGGAGGCUGGACAUCCUGUGUUGUGUCCAGAAAAUGGAUGGAGAAGCUCAGUGUGGUACCUGCCGGUCAGUAGGGCUUUGUGCCUUAUGACGAGGUAUUCUGAGUUGGUUGCAGCCUGGCUAUGGACAAAGACACACAUUGUCUGAUUUUGAGGCUCCCAUAUUAGCAGUAAGGAAACUGAGGCAUGGGGUGAAUGGAAGCAUGUGGACAUAUUCUAAGGCUGUUGAAUGCAGGAGCCACAUCUUCAUAUCCGUGCUGAUGUCCACCUUCCACCACAUUGACAUUCAUAUGGGGAAGGGGUCCUUGGUCUUUCUAUGUCCUAGAUGGACCUCUUCUCAUAAUAUCAUCUUUAAAUACUUAUGUUAAGAUACCUAGGAUCUUAAAAGUGCUUUAUCUGAAGUGUCAGGGAUAUUUGUCUAAGUAUUACUUAUUCCAUUUCAUCCGUAAGUUAUUACACAUAGAAUUUUUUUAAACAGUGUUACCAAGGAAGGUGCAUGGACCCCCUGAAUUCUCCCCUCUGCCUUGGUCCAUCCCACCUUCCUGUUCCUCUGAAUAACUCCCUACCCCAAGCAUGUGAGCCCAUUCAUUUGCAGGAAAGCUGCUCCUGCCCCCAGGACUCAGAGGCAUUUUUUGAAGUGUGCUGCAAAUGGCCAGAGUCCCAGAGGAAUUCACUAGCUCCAGUUGAUCUUGGGCUUGUUUAGGAGCUAACAGAGGUGGGUCCUUGAGCUCCUCCAAUAAUGACAUUCUGUAAAAGUCAUGUCAAUGGUGUGCCUAGGUCUAGAGUCUGGGGAGCGCACCUUCCAGGAGACAACUACUCCCAGCCACCAGAAACUGUCAGAAAGAUUUAGACUUGUGAUUUGUCCUUCACUUUUGCUAGUGAUCUCUAAAUAAUGGCUGAGUAAUCUCCUAACAGACUGUGAACAUGACAUUGCAGCGAGCCAUCGCAGGUGGGUGAGCACAGGUGUGAGUGUGUGCACCAGUAUUUCCCCCAACUCAGGGCUGUGAGUGCAGGAGGGGUGGUGACUCAUUCUCAGAAGCCUGUUCCCAUUAUCUUUUCUGGAGUGUUUUGUGCUGUUGUAGAGGUAGUUCAUUCUGUUCAACAGAACCUCCCCUUGCUCCUGUGUUAAAUCACAUUUCAUUAAAAGAUUUUUUUUUCUUCAAGUUGCUGCAUUUUGUAAGAGAUCAUUUCUUGGGCGAAGUCCUGGAAAGAAGAGAAUGCAAACCUGGUGUGAUAGAGGCCAGGAAUUGUGAGAGGGAACAGGACUUCCCUGUACAAAAAAAAAAAAAAAAAAAAA
rnacentral:lncRNA from 1 species